GUCUAAUCUGCUCAAUGAAUAAUUUUAAAUAGCUGCAAUAUUUUAAUUGUACAAAGGUAGCAUAAUCAUUUGUCUUUUAAUUUAAGAAUAGAAUGAAAGAUUAAAUAAAAUAUUAACUAUAUUAAUUCAAUAAAAAUUUAAAUUUUAUUUUUAAGUAAAAAAUCUUAAAUUUAUUUAUUAGACGAUAAGACCCUAUAGAAUUUUAUAUUUAUUUUUAAUAUUAAUUUUUAUUAUUAUUAUUUUAAAAUAAAUAUUAUAUUGGGGGUAUAAAAAAAUUUAAUAAAUUUUUUUAUUAAAAUCUACAUUAUAAAUGAAAACUAAAAGAG
rnacentral:rRNA from 1 species